rnacentral:rRNA from 1 species
GACGAACGCUGGCGGCGUGCUUAACACAUGCAAGUCGAACGGAAAGGCCCUGCUUUUGUGGGGUGCUCGAGUGGCGAACGGGUGAGUAACACGUGAGUAACCUGCCCUUGACUUUGGGAUAACUUCAGGAAACUGGGGCUAAUACCGGAUAGGAGCUCCUGCUGCAUGGUGGGGGUUGGAAAGUUUCGGCGGUUGGGGCUGGACUCGCGGCUUAUCAGCUGGUUGGUGAAGUAGUGGCUUACCAAGGCUUUGACGGGUAGCCGGCCUGGGAGGGUGACCGGCGACCUGGGGACUGAGAGACGGCCCAGUCUCCUACGGGAGGCAGCAGUCGGGAAUAUUGCACAAUGGGCGGAAGCCUGAUGCAGCAACGCCGCGUGCGGGAUGACGGCCUUCGGGUUGUGAACCGCUUUCGCCUGUGACGAAGCGUGAGUGACGGUAAUGGGUCAAGAAGCACCGGCUAACUACGUG